UUUUCAAUGCGGCGCAGACAUGCAGUCACUUAUCCUUUGGUCGUUGGACUGGCUGGUCGACAUCGCUCCUGAGAUCUGCUGAAAAAGCACUCCCAGACGUAUGUAUAGAUGAGGUGGUCGAUACGAUGUCAAUUGGUAAAACAAAAGGUAAAACAGGUAACCAUAAUGAGGCUUUCUCCAGGUAAGAAAACGUCAUGUACCAACCAAAUUAUCAUUGCGGCAUUUUCCCCCACCAAAUUUUAAUUUACAUAAGUAUGUCUACUGGAAAGUGGUAUAUAGAUUUGUAUGUAUCCAAACAUCCCUCGAAAAUCCGUGUAUAUCUAAUAUCUGGACAACCACCUGAAAAUUGAAUACAUACUAAAUUACCUGUUCAAAGGGUUGAUAGAUAGAUACACAUCUUUAUAUAUCUAGGAAUCUAUAUACAUACAUAUAUAGCUGCCAUGCAUACAUGCAAGUGACUUGCAAAUGAGAAAUGCAUAGCUAGAACUAUAUAGGAACAGAACAUCCCGCCGUAUCCGUCGAUGCUUUAAAUAGUAAAAAGACAAAUAUUUUUCCCAACCACUCAGCAUGGGCUCUUUUCCACUGUUCAAAGCAAAGACAGCUGCGGGUUGUUCCGUUUGAAAAAUCAGCAGGAGUAGAAUUAAGAUAAUUAAAAGUGAUUUUAGAGUCUGUAAAUGCCGUUAUUAAAGAUGUGGCGCAGAAGUUUGCAACUUAAACGAUAUCCCGCACUUGUCGCUGGCUAUUGUGCAAGUCAUCGUUAAUGUUGCCGGAUUCUGUGACCUAUAGUACAACCACAAAUAGUAUUUAUAAAAUUGGUAGGCCAGACUAAUAUAAGAAGUGCAAGGAAGUACCUUUACUAUAAAAGAACAGAACUUCCCGCCGUAUUUGUCGAUGCUUUCAUUAGUAAAAAGACAAAUAUUUUUCCCAGAAAUCAGCUUGGGCUCUUUUCUACUACUCAAAGCAAAAACGACGGCGCGUUGUUCUGUUUAUCAGCUCAGCUGAAAUAUUAUUAAUAGUAUAAUUAAGAUGGCUAAAGGUGAAUUAACGAACCGGUGAUACACUAAUAUUAAACAUAUGGUGCAGAAGUUUGCAACUUAAACGAUAUCCCGCACUUGUCGCUGGCUAUCGUGCAAGUCAUCGUUAAUGUUGCCGGAUUCUGUGACCUAAGACAACAAGCAAUGAACAUUAAAAAUAUGAGCUAAGACGAGUUUUGAUAAAGCUAAUGCGUAGCCCAUCAUUUGUCCCGUUAUCAAUCUAUUUUCUGCUUUAAAUGUAUAUAUAUUCCCCAGUUUUCUGAAGUAGCGGAUGGCAAGGAAGUCACCAUACAUCACGGAACGAGGUCAACGUCCAACAACUUCAAAUUCUUUCAAUCAAAUAUUGUAUUUAUAUAUUUAUUCCAUUAAAAAAUGUUUAUUUGUAUUACUUGGAUAUAA